AAGCAUCACUGCUCCUGUUGUUCCUUUGGCUUGAUGCUGCAUUACAAGGAGUAAUUGUGGGAGAAUAUCCAGAAGAAGGGGAAAGUUUGUGAAGGAAAAAAAAGAAUAUUGCAACUCACUGCUAGAGGCGUUAAUACGACGCUAACGAACCGUAGCCUUUCCAGAGCAUAGCUGGCAACAUUAGCACCCAUCUGUGCUGAGUGGGAUGUGCAAGCAGAAGCCAGGGCCGAGCAGCCUCCACCUGUUUGCAGAAAACCUUGCAUUUCCUGUGAAGGAGGAAGUCUGUGCUGUCCCCAUGGAAUGGGAAGGACUUGGAUGCUUCACUAAGACUUCUCCCUUCCCCCUUGAUGAGCAGUGCUCCUUUCAAGUGAAUGGAAGGUCUGGGAGUAAUGCAUACAAACACAGAGGCCGGGUCCUGUGUUGUGUGGAGGCGUGCAGCAAUCUGGUCUGGAUGGAGAAAAUACCUCAGAAAACCCAAGAGGAAUGUUUACUUUGAAAGUUUCUCUCAUGAAAUUGUUUUAUCUUUCUAAUUAAAAAAAUUGCUUUAAAUAUAAAAUAAUGAUAAAUCCUUCUGGGAAAACCAAUUCCAAUGUGAUAAAACUCCUACAGUGUGAAGCAAGAACCACUCAAUUCAACUGCAAGGAGAAGGCAUGUUAUUUAAUCAAACAGAGGGUUAGAGAACAGCAUCAAAUAUGCAUUUUUAAAUUUGUUUCCAUUUCUUUUCUAGUCCAUUUCUGACUGGAUUUCUUUGAUAUUACACAGAUUUGAGUUACAUCUUGUGCAUCUUGUGGAAGAAAAUAUGUGUCCUAAUAGAGCCUUUGAAUAUAGUUAAAACAACUUUAGCAAGGCUACAGUAGGUCAGUGGCAGUGCUUGGAAAAGAAGUUAGGUGAUGUUUUGCCCAGUUCUGUAUAUUUUAAUUAGCAAACUGGCCUGCCUCCCUGAAUUACAAUGGCAUUGUGAUACCUAAAUGUUCAGAAUCCUGAGCUUUAUAUAUUAACAUAAAACAUUUCUUGAACAGACUUAUAGCAAGAAAAUAUUGCAAGAAAUAUUGCAAUUUUCUUAUAUAGAAAGAAAAUAUUGCUAUAGCUUCUUUACCAGUUGUGCCCCAGACUGCUUUUUACAUAGUAUUCAAGGAUGAUCUUGACAACAUAAUUAUCUUUUAGGGACUAUAAAAUACCAGAGAUUAAAAUGGACAGAUCUGGAUAGGGCAA
ensembl:lncRNA